rnacentral:rRNA from 1 species
GACGGAGGAUGCAAGCGUUAUCCGGAAUGAUUGGGCGUAAAGCGUCCGCAGGUGGCAGUUCAAGUCUGCUGUCAAAGACCGGGGCUUAACUUCGGAAAGGCAGUGGAAACUGAACAGCUAGAGUAUGGUAGGGGCAGAGGGAAUUCCUGGUGUAGCGGUGAAAUGCGUAGAGAUCGGGAAGAACACCGGUGGCGAAAGCGCUCUGCUGGGCCACAACUGACACUCAGGGACGAAAGCUAGGGGAGCGAAAGGGAUUAGAAACCCUUGAUAGA